UGCUAAAAAAACAACUCACCGGUAAGAAUAAGUUUGGUGUCUUGAUUUCAAAAGUGGUGAUCAGUUUGAAUUUCAAAUCAAUGUAGGCCCAAAAGAUCUCUAUCGGGAUUUAGCUGUUCUGGAAAGACAGGACGAGCUGGCUAAAACCGUAUUCGCUGGUAUAAUCCCCACUGCUCAACGUGGGUGCCAGUCUGGGACCAGAAAGUUGUUCGGAUACCCGUUAAACAUCCGAUAAGCAAUCCAGAAGGACCACCCUAAUCGCUUUCCCUCCUGACAAGCCACCCCACUCCCAUCCGGGGAAAUUCUGAGUGGAAGCGUUUGGGAGCAUCGUCUACUACCGCAUUACUAGAGACGGCCGCGCCACUGGUGGCCAACAUAGGAACCAGCAGUAUUCUCCAAGCGUUUCACUGCUCGACACGUCACACGGGUUGCCUACCUAAUAGCGCAACAUAAUCAGCCGAUCCGCUCGAUAGCCGAAUCUGCUGGAAUCGCCGACCAGGGGUCUGCAUCACGUUAGUGCACACGGAGCAGGAAUUGUGCAACACUACGCUCGUUCAGUUGGAUGUACGGUGCCCGCUGAUCGAAGCCCGUCUUCGUAUUCAAGUCCAAUAUCACCUGCCAGCCUUUCCGCCACCCGGCCAAGUCCCAUUGGUCGCUGCGUUACGACUACUACCACCACGCUCUUUCAGUUGGAUGAAUGGUGCCCGCUGAUCGAUGCCCUUCGUCACGCUCGUUUGAAUAUCAACCCGCCAUUCCGACUCGGGCCCAGUCCUAUUGGUAUCUGGGUUAACGAGUACCACGCCAUCUACCACGAUUUCACCACCAAGACGCUUCCCGCCACGCUGCUUCCGAUUGCUGCUGCCGAUCUUCUGCGCCAAAACAGGAUAACAGGUCAGAUCUGAUUUUUUUUUAUGAACCAUAAUGAGCUCGAAGAACUCCAUGUAAAGCAAGUGACGUCACUUAGGUAAAUUUAAAAACUAGAAUAUAGAACAUGUUGAAUUCAGAAUUUUAGACAGUUUAGUUGUGCUAAGACAGUAAUUUACGCCUCCACUCAGGGUGAUUGGGAUAUUGAUGCUGAAGAUUUUUGCCCCGAUAUUGAGUUUCCUCUUUUUUCAUUCCGUUUAGAUUCCGUUAGGUAUAAAGAUUUUUGUUGGUCUGUUGGUGACGCUGAGAUUGACGACUGUUUGAGCCUAUUGACCCGCCCAAACGAGUGUCUCAAGCCGGGCCUCUAUAAAAAGCAACAGCAGUCUCUCCAUAGGGGAGUGGCGCUUAAACUGCUGCUGUUAAGUGCAAAAAGCUUUCGUUACAUUUGGCGCCCAACGAAGAACUCCAUGUAAAGCAAGUGACGUCACUUAGGUAAAUUUAAAAACUAGAAUAUAGAACAUGUUGAAUUCAG